AACGAACGCUGGCGGCAGGCUUAACACAUGCAAGUCGAACGCCCCGCAAGGGGAGUGGCAGACGGGUGAGUAACGCGUGGGAAUCUACCUAGUUCUACGGAACAACUGAGGGAAACUUCAGCUAAUACCGUAUACGCCCUAAGGGGGAAAGAUUUAUCGGAAUUAGAUGAGCCCGCGUUGGAUUAGCUAGUUGGUGGGGUAAUGGCCUACCGAGGCGACGAUCUAUAGCUGGUCUGAGAGGAUGAUCAGCCACACUGGGACUGAGACACGGCCCAGACUCCUACGGGGGGCAGCAGUGGGGAAUAUUGGACAAUGGGCGCAGGCCUGAUCCAGCCAUGCCGCGUGAGUGAUGAAGGCCUUAGGGUUGUAAAGCUCUUUCAGUGGGGACGGUAAUGACGGUACCCACAGAAGAAGCCCCGGCUAACUUCGUGCCAGCAGCCGCAGUAACAC
rnacentral:rRNA from 1 species